CAGACAUAGAGAGGUAGAGGAACCUGGUCAUCUGUAUCUGGACAGAGAGAGGUAGAGGAACCUGGAAAUCUGUAUCAGACAGAGAGAGGAAGAGGAACCUGGACAUCUGUAUCAGGACAGAGAGAUGUAGAGGAACCUGGACAUCUGUACCAGGACAGAGAGAGGAAGAGGAACCUGGACAUCUGUAUCAGAACAGAGAGAGGUAGAGGAACCUGGACAUCUGUAUCAGGGCAGAGAGAGGUAGAGGGACCUGGACAUCUGUAUGAGACAGAGAGAGGUAGAGGAACCUGGACAUCUGUAUCUGGACAGAGAGAGGUAGAGGAACAUGGAAAUCUGUAUCAGACAGAGAGAGGAAGACGAACCUGGACAUCUGUACCAGGACAGAGAGAGGUAGAGGAACCUGGUCAUCUGCAUGAGACAGAGAGAGGUAGAGGAACAAGGAAAUCUGUAUCAGAGAGAGAGGAAGAGGAACCUGGACAUCUGUAUCAGGACAGAGAGUGGAAGAGGAACCUGGACAUCUGUAUCAGACAGAGAGAUGUAGAGGAACCUGGUCAUCUGUAUCUGGACAGAGAGAGGUAGAGGAACCUGGAAAUCUGUAUCAGACAGAGAGAGGAAGAGGACCCUGGAUAUCUGUAUCAGACAGAGAGAGGAA
rnacentral:lncRNA from 1 species